UAAGGAAUAUUGGUCAAUGGACGGAAGUCUGAACCAGCCAUGCCGCGUGGAGGAUGAAGGUCCUCUGGAUUGUAAACUUCUUUUCUCGAUGAAGAAAAUUACUUUUUCUAAGGUAUUUGACGGUAAUUGAGGAAUAAGCACCGGCUAACUCCGUGCCAGCAGCCGCGGUAAUACGGAGGGUGCAAGCGUUAUCCGGAUUCACUGGGUUUAAAGGGAGCGUAGGUGGGUAUGUAAGUCAGUGGUGAAAGCCCCGAGCUUAACUUGGGAACUGCCAUUGAUACUGCGUAUCUUGAAUACCGUAGAGGAAAGCGGAAUAUGUCAUGUAGCGGUGAAAUGCUUAGAUAUGACAUAGAACACCAAUUGCGAAGGCAGCUUUCUAUGCGUGUAUUGACACUAAUGC
rnacentral:rRNA from 1 species